UACUGCUGUGUCUGCCUCAUCUUCUGGGUUCUGCCUCAUCUUCUGGGUUCUGCCUCAUCUUCUGGGUUCUGCCUCAUCUUCUGGGUUCUGCCUCAUCUUCUGGGUUCUGCCUCAUCUUCUGGGUUCUGCCUCAUCUUCUGGGUUCUGCCGACUAUUAGUGCCAAGUACUGCUGUGUCUGCCUCAUCUUCUGGGUUCUGCUGACUAUUAGUGCCAAGUACUGCUGUGUCUGCCUCAUCUUCUGGGUUCUGCUGACUAUUAGUGCCAAGUACUGCUGUGUCUGCCUCAUCUUCUGGGUUCUGCUGACUAUUAGUGCCAAGUACUGCUGUGUCUGCCUCAUCUUCUGGGUUCUGCUGACUAUUAGUGCCAAGUACUGCUGUGUCUGCCUCAUCUUCUGGGUUCUGCUGACUAUUAGUGCCAAGUACUGCUGUGUCUGCCUCAUCUUCUGGGUUCUGCUGACUAUUAGUGCCAAGUACUGCUGUGUCUGCCUCAUCUUCUGGGUUCUGCCUCAUCUUCUGGGUUCUGCCAACUAUUAGUAGCUCAGUUUACUAAGUGACUGUUUCUCACACCGGAGACCCGAGUUCGUAACCGGGUCCUGACAGAGAGAGAGAGAGAGAGUUUUAUAUAAUCUUUAUUGGGUCUGGGAGCCCACAACACACUAAAUACUCAUACAAAACCAUAGUUACACAUCAUUUAAAAACACCACUCGAAAUCCUCCUCCACAGUAACUAAACACAACAGCCUCUGAAUACCCCAUAUACUCAUAAACAGAUCAAUAUUGUUGACAAGUUUAUAAUAGGCAAACUCAACCCUCAGUCUCGCUGCCAACAUUCCCUCCAGUAUUCCCACCACAUCCCUGUCCCCGAAUAUUGUUCUUUCGGGUCUUCCAUAUCGCUAAUUUUGCUGCCCCAAAUACAAAAUUAAGCAACACAACUACACCCUUUUGACUAAACCUGUACUUUGGCUCAAAUAUAUACAGUUGGGAAGAGAACCUCUCCCAACGCUGAGAACCAAGAAGUGAUCAGGUCAGUCAUCCCGACCAACCUGGGACACAGUAAAAACAGAUGUGCCAGAGUUUCAGACUCAGCACAGAAUGGACACCCCUCCCCAACAGUAGGAUCCAGGUGUACCAGAUGCAGAAUGGACAGCCUUCCCCAACUGUAGGAUCCAGGUGUACCAGAUGCAUAUUAGUGGCUAUGGCUCCAUGUAUUAUCCUCCAUUGUAGGUCAGCUGUUUUAAAUAGGCAGUUUGUUUAAUGAUCACCAAAAGGCUUUUGGGGAGGCAGCUGGACCAAACACACCCGCCCACCUCGUCGAUUUUACCCCUUCCAAGGGAGAAGCACGGGACACUUUUACACAUUAUGUACAUGUCCUUCUUUCCCACAUUCUUGAACUCCCCCAGCUCCUUGAACUCCCCCAGCUCCUUGAACUCCCCCACCUCCUUGAACUCCCCCAGCUCCUUGAACUCCCCCAUCUCCUUGAACUCCCCCAGCUCCUUGAACUCCCCCAGCUCCUU
rnacentral:lncRNA from 13 species